UGGGGAAUUUUCCACAAUGGGCGAAAGCCUGAUGGAGCAAUACCGCGUGGGUGAUGAAGGUUCGUGGACUGUAAAGCCCUUUUCUUAAGGAAGAAUAAUGACGGUACUUAAGGAAUAAGCACCGGCUAACUCUGUGCCAGCAGCCGCGGUAAUACAGGGGGUGCAAGCGUUGUCCGGAAUGAUUGGGCGUAAAGCAUCUGUAGGUGGUUUCUAAAGUCAACUGUUAAAUCCCAGAGCUCAACUUUGGACAAGCAGUUGAGUACUUAGGGACUUGAGUAUGGUAGGGGUAGAGGGAAUUCCUAGUGGAGCGGUGAAAUGCACAGAGAUUAGGAAGAACACCAGUGGCGAAAGCGCUCUACUGGGCCAUGACUGACACUGAGAGAUGAAAGUUAGGGGAGCGAAAA
rnacentral:rRNA from 1 species